AUUUCUGAGCCUAUGGUACAUUCGACGCAAACCGUGCACCUGUCUUGCGUCAAGAUUAGCACUAUCUGCAAAUAGACAGAAUCGAGCUUCCACUUGAGCCACAUCACCUAGAAGUACCGUCGGGUGCAUCCAAAACGAUUUAUGAGCUUUUGGUACAUUUGGCGCAAACCGUGCACCUAUCUUGCAACGACACUAACAUUGUCUCCAAACGGAAUGAAAUGGAAUUCCACAUACCCAAGUCACCUAGGAGUUCCAUCGGGUGUGUCCAAAACGACAUCCGAGCCUAUGGCACGAUCAGCACAAACUGUGCACCUAUCUUGUGUCGGGAUUAGCACUAUCUCCAAAUGGACCGAACUGAGCAUCCAUUUGAGCCUCGUCACCUAGGUGUACCAACGUGUGCGUCCAAAAAUGAUUUCAGAGCCUAUGGUACAUUUGGCGCAAACCGUGCACCUAUCUUGCAAUGACGCUAACACUGUCUCCAAAUGGACUGAAACGUUAUUCCACGUGACCUACGUCACCUAAGAGUUCCAUCCGAUGUGUCCAAAAAUGAUUUCUGAGCCUAUGGUACAUUUGGCGCAAACCGUGCACCUAUCUUGCAAUGACGCUAACACUGUCUCCAAAUGGACUGAAACGUUAUUCCACGUGACCUACGUCACCUAAGAGUUCCAUCCGAUGUGUCCAAAAAUGAUUUCUGAGCCUAUGGUACAUUUGGCGCAAACCGUGCACCUGUCUUGCGUCAAGAUUAGCACUAUCUGCAAAUAGACAGAAUCGAGCUUCCACUUGAGCCACAUCACCUAGAAGUACCGUCGGGUGCAUCCAAAACGAUUUAUGAGCUUUUGGUACAUUUGGCGCAAACCGUGCACCUAUCUUGCAACGACACUAACAUUGUCUCCAAACGGAAUGAAAUGGAAUUCCACAUACCCAAGUCACCUAGGAGUUCCAUCGGGUGUGUCCAAAACGACAUCCGAGCUUAUGGUACGAUCGGCGCAAACCGUGCACCUACUUUGUGUCUAGAUUAGCAGUAUCUCCAAACGGACCAAAACAGGCAUCCACUUGAGCCUCGACACCUAGGAGUACCAACGGGUGCGUCCAAAACGAUUUCUAAGCCUACGGUACAUUUGGCACAAACCGCGCAUCUAUCUUGGACCGACACUAACACUGUCUUCAAACAGACCAAAAUGGGAUUCCACCUGACCCAAGUGACCUAGGAGUUCCAUCAGUUGUUGUCAUAGUCAACGACAAUUUAAACUUCUAGGAAAACUUCGAAUUAGGAGGGCAAUCCUCCCGGUGAACUGACCGUACCCCAAACCGACACAGGUGAACAAGUAGAGUAUACUAGGGUGCAUUGAGAGAACCAUGUCGAAGGAACUCGGCAAAAUGACCCUGUAACUUCAGGAGAAGGGGUGCUCUCCUAUCUUUUGAUUAGGAAAGCGGCACAUACCAGGGGUAGCAACUGUUUAUUAAAAACACAGGACUCUACUAAGUGGUAACACAAUGUAUAGAGUCUGACACCUGCCUGGUGUUGGAAGGUCGGAAGGAGAAGUGUGAUAAGCUUUGAAUGGAAGCCCCGGUAAAUGGUAGCAGUAACUCUAUCUGUCCUAAGGUAGUGAAAUUCCUUGUCGCAUAAGUAGCGACCUGCACGAAUGGUGUAACGACUGCCCCGCUGUCUCCGACAUGGACCCAGUGAAAUUGAAUUCUUCGUGAAGAUGCAGAGUACCAAUGGCUAGACGGUAAGACCCCAUGCAUCUUGACAAUAGCUUUAUAGUGACAACCUUGAUCAAAUGUGUAGGAUAGGUGGGAGGUGGUGACACACAAUGACCAAUCCUAAAAGACCACUCUUUCAUUUAAGGAUGCCUAUCGCCGCACCGAUCAUUCGGGGGAAGGGCAGGACACUGCGAGGUGGGUAGUUUAUCUAGGGUGAAUGCCUCCUAAAGAGUAAUGGAGGUGUGCGAAGGUAGGCUCAAGCAUUGAUUCUACUCAUGAGCGUAAUGGUAUAAGCCUUCCUGACUAUGAGACCGACUGGUUGAAUAGAGAUGAAAGUCGACCAUAGUGAUUCGGGAGUCCCUAUGAAAGGGCUCUCGCUCAAUGGAUCAAAGGUACGCCACGGAUAACAGGCUGAUGACUCCUAAGAGCUCUUAUUGACAGAGUCAUUUGGUACCUCGAUGUCGACUCAUCACAUCCUAGGGUUGAAGAAGGUCCCAAGGGUUUGGUUGUUUGUCAAUGAAAGUGGUACGUGAGUUGGGUUUAGAACGUCGUGAGACAGUUCAGUUCCUAUCUUCCAUUGGUGUCCUUGUACCAGCAGCCCGUGAAAUCAGGAAGGGGCGCGUCAUCAUGAUUUCUGAGGUAAAACCACUUUUGGUGCCACCCCUUGUUAGAAGAAACCCCCUUCUUUGGACUGGGAAUAAUGGAGCUGGAGUGCACAGCGACCGUUAUACACUAGCAACGAACCCCCCUUCUUCGAGGAUUUAAGGAAGACGGAGCCAAAAAGUAGUACUUCCACUAGAUGUGGUUGGGCUCAAUGCCCAAAUAACCCUCGCACAAAGGAGCAAAGGCGGCGGCCUGCU
rnacentral:rRNA from 1 species